UACGGAGGGAGCUAGCGUUGUUCGGAAUUACUGGGCGUAAAGGGCGCGUAGGCGGCCCGCUAAGUCGAACGUGAAAUCCCUGGGCUCAACCCAGGAACUGCGUCCGAUACUGGCGGGCUUGAAUCCGGGAGAGGGAUGUGGAAUUCCAGGUGUAGCGGUGAAAUGCGUAGAUAUCUGGAGGAACACCGGUGGCGAAGGCGGCAUCCUGGACCGGUAUUGACGCUGAUGCGCGAAAGCCAGGGGAGCAAACGGG
rnacentral:rRNA from 1 species